GACGAACCGUGCGAACGUUAUUCGGAAUCACUGGCUUAAAGCGCGUGUAGGCGGAUGGGAACGUCGGCUUCUGAAAGCCCCCGGCUCAACCGGGGAAGUGGGGCCGAAACGACCCGUCUGGAGGGACGUAGGGGGAUCUGGAACUUCCGGUGGAGCGGUGAAAUGCGUUGAGAUCGGAAAGAACACCAACGGCGAAAGCACUCUGCUGGGCCGACACUGACACUGAGAGACGAAAGCUAGGGGAGCGAAUGGG
rnacentral:rRNA from 1 species